rnacentral:rRNA from 1 species
GGAUGAACGCUGGCGGCGUGCCUAAUACAUGCAAGUCGAGCGAACAGACGAGGAGCUUGCUCCUCUGACGUUAGCGGCGGACGGGUGAGUAACACGUGGAUAACCUACCUAUAAGACUGGGAUAACUUCGGGAAGCCGGAGCUAAUACCGGAUAAUAUAUUGAACCGCAUGGUUCAAUAGUGAAAGACGGUUUUGCUGUCACUUAUAGAUGGAUCCGCGCCGCAUUAGCUAGUUGGUAAGGUAACGGCUUACCAAGGCGACGAUGCGUAGCCGACCUGAGAGGGUGAUCGGCCACACUGGAACUGAGACACGGUCCAGACUCCUACGGGAGGCAGCAGUAGGGAAUCUUCCGCAAUGGGCGAAAGCCUGACGGAGCAACGCCGCGUGAGUGAUGAAGGUCUUCGGAUCGUAAAACUCUGUUAUUAGGGAAGAACAAAUGUGUAAGUAACUAUGCACGUCUUGACGGUACCUAAUCAGAAAGCCACGGCUAACUACGUG